AUUGAACGCUGGCGGAAUGCUUUACACAUGCAAGUCGAACGGCAGCACGGACUUCGGUCUGGUGGCGAGUGGCAAACGGGUGAGUAAUACAUCGGAACGUGCCCAAUCGUGGGGGAUAACGUAGCGAAAGCUACGCUAAUACCGCAUACGAUCUAAGGAUGAAAGCGGGGGAUCGCAAGACCUCGCGCGAUUGGAGCGGCCGAUGGCAGAUUAGGUAGUUGGUAGGGGAAAGGCCUACCAAGCCGACGAUCUGUAGCUGGUCUGAGAGGAUGAUCAGCCAGACUGGAAUUGAGACACGGCCCAGACUCCGACGGGAGGCAGCAGUGGGGAAUUUUGGACAAUGGACGCAAGUCUGAUCCAGCCAUUCCGCGUGCAGGAUGAAGGCCCUCGGGUUGUAAACUGCUUUUGUACAGAACGAAAAGGCUCUGGUUAAUACCUAGGGCUCAUGACGGUACUGUAAGAAUGAGCACCGGCUAACUACGUGCCAGCCGCCGCCGUAA
rnacentral:rRNA from 1 species